ACGCUAGCGACAGGCUUAACACAUGCAAGUCGAGGGGCAGCGGGGGUAGCGAUACCCGCCGGCGACCGGCGCACGGGUGAGUAACGCGUAUGCAACUUGCCUAUCAGAGGGGGAUAACCCGGCGAAAGUCGGACUAAUACCGCAUGAAGCAGGGGCCCCGCAUGGGGAUAUUUGCUAAAGAUUCAUCGCUGAUAGAUAGGCAUGCGUUCCAUUAGGCAGUUGGCGGGGUAACGGCCCACCAAACCGACGAUGGAUAGGGGUUCUGAGAGGAAGGUCCCCCACAUUGGUACUGAGACACGGACCAAACUCCUACGGGAGGCAGCAGUGAGGAAUAUUGGUCAAUGGCCGAGAGGCUGAACCAGCCAAGUCGCGUGAGGGAUGAAGGUUCUAUGGAUCGUAAACCUCUUUUAUAAGGGAAUAAAGUGCGGGACGUGUCCCGUUUUGUAUGUACCUUAUGAAUAAGGAUCGGCUAACUCCGUGCCAGCAGCCGCGGUAAUACGGAGGAUCCGAGCGUUAUCCGGAUUUAUUGGGUUUAAAGGGUGCGUAGGCGGCCUUUUAAGUCAGCGGUGAAAGUCUGUGGCUCAACCAUAGAAUUGCCGUUGAAACUGGGGGGCUUGAGUAUGUUUGAGGCAGGCGGAAUGCGUGGUGUAGCGGUGAAAUGCAUAGAUAUCACGCAGAACCCCGAUUGCGAAGGCAGCCUGCCAAGCCAUUACUGACGCUGAUGCACGAAAGCGUGGGGAUCAAACAGGAUUAGAUACCCUGGUAGUCCACGCAGUAAACGAUGAUCACUGGCUGUUUGCGAUACACUGUAAGCGGCACAGCGAAAGCGUUAAGUGAUCCACCUGGGGAGUACGCCGGCAACGGUGAAACUCAAAGGAAUUGACGGGGGCCCGCACAAGCGGAGGAACAUGUGGUUUAAUUCGAUGAUACGCGAGGAACCUUACCCGGGUUUGAACGCAUUCGGACCGAGGUGGAAACACCUUUUCUAGCAAUAGCCGUUUGCGAGGUGCUGCAUGGUUGUCGUCAGCUCGUGCCGUGAGGUGUCGGCUUAAGUGCCAUAACGAGCGCAACCCUUGCCACUAGUUACUAACAGGUAAAGCUGAGGACUCUGGUGGGACUGCCAGCGUAAGCUGCGAGGAAGGCGGGGAUGACGUCAAAUCAGCACGGCCCUUACAUCCGGGGCGACACACGUGUUACAAUGGCGUGGACAAAGGGAGGCCACCUGGCGACAGGGAGCGAAUCCCCAAACCACGUCUCAGUUCGGAUCGGAGUCUGCAACCCGACUCCGUGAAGCUGGAUUCGCUAGUAAUCGCGCAUCAGCCAUGGCGCGGUGAAUACGUUCCCGGGCCUUGUACACACCGCCCGUCAAGCCAUGGGAGCCGGGGGUACCUGAAGUCCGUAACCGAAAGGAUCGGCCUAGGGUAAAACUGGUGACUGGGGC
rnacentral:rRNA from 1 species